rnacentral:lncRNA from 1 species
CUUUGUUAUUCUAUUCUAAUCAGUUCCAAAUCUGCAAUGUUCAAAACUCCAAAGUUCACAUUUUGAUGUCAUUGUUGGAGAGAGAGGUGCAGAAAAGUGAGAGUAUAGAGAACAAGAGCCAAAAGGUGAAAGCAAUCUUAAAACAAAGAAAUAUGGAACCGCAGAUAAAUGGGGGAAUAUAUUGGGUUUUUGACUGACAGACAGCUAGACAGACUGACAGACGGGGGUAGAGGAUAACCACUUGAUAAUAUCGAAGAGAAGCAGGGUUUGACAUUGAUGGAGCCAGAAUGAUGCCCUUCAAACUCCAGUGGUUUCUCAUCUUCCCCUUAUCCCCCCACUCUCUCCCCCUUUCCUUCUCACCUACUCCCUCUCCUCUUCCCCCUUUCCUGGGCAGCUGAAAUGCCUGCUAGCUCUUUCCUGUAACAGUGGUAUCAGAUGGAGGUGGCAUGAGAGGUACAGACAGAGGAAAUGAGGGGAGAGAUGAGUGAGACAGGAGGGCUGGGGUUAGGGGCUUGAGGGGUUUUGGUAGGAGGAGAAGAGGGGGAUCGUAAAAAUUAGAAAGAGCUCUACACAUAGGAGCGAGGACAGUUCACACAGCCCCAUUCUCUGCCUUCUGUUUUCCUCUUUCUACCUCUUCCUCUCUCUCUCACUCCCUCUGACUGAUAGUCACACACUUCCUUCCAAACCUGGUUCCUGUUUGUUGAAGAUAAGUGAGGCCAGUGGAACAGUUUCUCUCUCUCUCUCUCUCUGUACCCUCUCGUAAUUUUCUCUCCAUUCUCUCCUGAUUUUCUCUUAGACUGUACUGUAGCAGGUAUUGUAUUUAUUGCAUUAGUGUUGCAUCUCUUUAUAGUUUAGAUCUCUGCUACCCUCUAGUGGAUCUCACACUCACAAAUAUUAGUAUAUAGAUAAAAAAUUAUGUUCUACAUUCUCUCUCUCUAUCUCUAAUUUCUCUCCCCCUCUCCCUCCCAGCAGUAGAGAAGCCAGUGGCAGUGAAACAGCCUGAGGUGAAGCCUGUGUUGGCGGAGAGGCCUAAUGCCCCAGCUGCAGUAGAGCCAGACCGUCCAGUGGAGAGACAGCAGGAACAGGCUGAGGCCCCCCAGAUCAAAGCACCUGAACAAGCAGUAACAGACAUUAAAAAGAAGGAGGGACAGCUGGACAGCCCAAAGCAGGUGUGGUGGUGCCUGAGGUGGAGACUCAUCGGCACGAGCCGCCCAUCCACCAUGACGAGGUCCAGAUAGAGAAGAGGAAGAACGUUGCUGAGCUGGAGGAUGCUGCACAGCUAUUUUCAGGUCUCUCCAGAGAUUUUCGAUUGGGCUCAAGUCCGGGCUCUGGCUGGGUCACUCAAGGACAUUGAGUCUUGUCCCGAAGCCAUUUCUGCAUCGUCUUGGCUGUGUGCUUAGGGUCGUUGUCUUGUUGGAAUGUGAACCUUCGCCCGCAGUCUGAGGUCCCGAGCAGGUUUUCAUUAAGGAUCUCUCUGUACUUCGCUCCGUUAAUCUUUCUUUCAAUCCUGAC